AUUGAACGCUGGCGGCAGGCUUAACACAUGCAAGUCGAGCGGAGAGAGGUAGCUUGCUACUGAUCUUAGCGGCGGACGGGUGAGUAAUGCUUAGGAAUCUGCCUAUUAGUGGGGGACAACAUUUCGAAAGGAAUGCUAAUACCGCAUACGUCCUACGGGAGAAAGCAGGGGAUCUUCGGACCUUGCGCUAAUAGAUGAGCCUAAGUCGGAUUAGCUAGUUGGUGGGGUAAAGGCCUACCAAGGCGACGAUCUGUAGCGGGUCUGAGAGGUUGAUCCGCCACACUGGGACUGAGACACGGCCCAGACUCCUACGGGAGGCAGCAGUGGGGAAUAUUGGACAAUGGGCGGAAGCCUGAUCCAGCCAUGCCGCGUGUGUGAAGAAGGCCUUAUGGUUGUAAAGCACUUUAAGCGAGGAGGAGGCUACUUUAGUUAAUACCUAGAGAUAGUGGACGUUACUCGCAGAACGAGCACCGGCUAACUCUGUGCCAGCCGCCGCAGUAA
rnacentral:rRNA from 1 species